GAAAACAUUAGCUAAUCUAGAUUCUCACUUAGGUAUUUUCUUACAAUACAAAGUGCAUCAAUUAUUAUUAGUAUGAAUGUGAAUUAUAAUCUGGGUAUACAAACUGGAGGUUUCGAAGCAGUUAGAUGUACAUUUGUAUGUAUGUUUUUGUGUGUGU